UAUAAAAUAUUUCUUUGUAUGCUUUGAAGGCUCAAAUUGAAGAAAUUGUUCAAUCAGAUCCAUCUCUACCUAGCAUAGAGAUAGUAGAAAAAUGUUGCGAACCUCAAAGUCGUAGCCAUGUAUUUGGCUUUGGGGUGGAGUAACGGCGAAAGACUUGAAAGGUGGCGCUUCUUCAAAGGCUGACUUACUAUCCGCGCUACGUUUAACUCGAGAGGAAAACAAAACUUUGAGUGAGGAAAACAAAUCCUUACAAGAACGCUUGUCUACCUUAGAAGAUGAGAUGAAAGAAAUGAAGAAAAUAAAGGAAUUCUUCGCUGCUCAACAAUCACAUGUCUCGCCUACGACAUCGCUCAACUGAAUGACUAUUUUUGUCUUUUGAUCAACCUUGUUGAUGUUGCUGGAUAACACCUGAUGAAUUUACACUGCUUUUGGGGUUUUGAAGAUUGAAGCUACAAGUCAAGACGAAAGUUUAGAAGAAACACAACUCAUUAUUAUUUUGCUAGGGAUGUUAUGUAAAACAUGAUAUCAUAGUCUCGCUCAGGAUGUUAGCUAAGUUUUUUUGUUAAGGUGUUGAGCAAAUAUUGAAACUAUAUAACAUCAUGCGAUGUUA